UACGGGGGGGGCAAGCGUUGUUCGGAAUUACUGGGCGUAAAGGGCUCGUAGGCGGCCAACUAAGUCAGACGUGAAAUCCCUCGGCUUAACCGGGGAACUGCGUCUGAUACUGGAUGGCUAGAGGUUGGGAGAGGGAUGCGGAAUUCCAGGUGUAGCGGUGAAAUGCGCAGAUAUCAGGAAGAACACCAAUGGCGAAGGCAGCUCUCUGGGACGGUACUGACGCUGAGACGCGAAAGCGUGGGGAGCGAACAGG
rnacentral:rRNA from 1 species